rnacentral:lncRNA from 1 species
AGCUGGAGGAGGGGAAGAGAUAACACACUGCUGUUCCUCUUUGCUUCCCCGACUUCAUCUUAAAAGGCCAUGCCCCAAAGAAGGCAGCCGGUGGCUCCUGAGCUCCAGGACUCUGCUUGUAAGUGUAAAUUGGGAAGAAAAGUAAUCCAGGCAUCUGUUCAGGUUCUGGCUGGCCUCACAGGACUGACACCAAAUGCUGCCAGACUCUCUGAGUGCCAAGGUUGGCUGGCCUCUGAAGAAAGGAAAAAUCUACAACAGAGAAUACUUCCAGCUCCAGUAACAAAUGUGUCUGUGAUUUAAAGAGGAGGCCUGGGUUCAAGAGGCCUUGGCUGCAUCAUCCCAUCUGGAAGCAAAUCGGCACUGAUUGGCCUCAGUUCCACUCUUCAGAUUAGGGCACUUGUGGUAGAAAGAAGUUCUGUUGUGCCUUUCCAUGGAUGAGAGACACACUGUUCACCUCUGCCAUGCUCACACUCCCCCUAUUUUUCCAUAUCCCUAGUCUUGCAAACCUGGUACGAUCCAAAACGUCUACCUAAACCAUCCUGAGACACACAGUUCCUCUCUCUGAUGUGGAAGGUGGGUGAGACACAGAGGCCCUGAUGAACUCUCGUGUGAAUGAUAGUAGCAGGUCAGAUCUGUAGAGUGGGCAAAGGGGUCAUGACAGGGUCCUCACUGGGAGACACAAACACCCCUGCCAAUGUACCUCCCAGGAGGACAGAGAGCCACAGGUCCAUGCGUACAGACUCCCCACCAGUCUGAGGCCACCCACACUGUGGCCUACACACACAGAAAGCUUGUCAC